GUUUUUGUGUUUUUUUGUU
rnacentral:sRNA from 1 species